rnacentral:rRNA from 1 species
CCUACGGGAGGCAGCAGUGAGGAAUAUUGGUCAAUGGGCGCGAGCCUGAACCAGCCAAGUAGCGUGAAGGAUGACUGCCCUACGGGUUGUACACUUCUUUUAUACAGGAAUAAAGUGAGACACGCGUGCCUUUUUGUAUGUACUUUAUGAAUAAGGAUCGGCUAACUCCGUGCCAGCAGCCUCGGUAAUACGGAGGAUCCGAGCGUUAUCCGGAUUUAUUGGGUUUAAAGGGAGCGUAGAUGGUUGGUUAAGUCAGUUGUGAAAGUUUGCGGCUCAACCUUAAAAUUGCAUUUGAUACUGGCAGGCUUGAGUGUAGUUGAGGUAGGCGGAAUGCGUGGUGUAGCGGUGAAAUGCUUAGAUAUCACGAAGAACUCCGAUUGCGAAGGCAGCUUACUAAGCUGCCACUGACAUUGAUGCUCGAAAGUGUGGGGAUCAAACAGGAUUAGAUACCCUUGUAGUC